CCCCAUCCUCCCCCCAUUGCUGCUCUCCCCCCAACAAUCACAUUCACUGGGGGUUCAGUCUUAGCAGGACCCAGGGUUUCCCCUUCCACUGGUGCUCUUACUAGGCUAUUCAUUGCUGCCUAUGAGGUCAGAGUCCAGGGUCAGUCCAUGUAUAGUCUUUAGGUAGUGGCUUAGUCCCUGGAAGCUCUGGUUGCUUGGCAUUGUUGUUCAUAAGGGGUCUCGAGCCCCUUCAAGCUCUUCCAGUUCUUUCUCUGAUUCCUUCAACGGGGGUCCUAUUCUCAGUUCAGUGGUUUGCUGCUGGCAUUCACCUCUGGUUUGCUGUAUUCUGGCUGUGUCUCUCAGGAGAGAUCUACAUCCGGCUCCUGUCGGCCUGCACUUCUUGGCUUCAUCCAUCUUGUCUAAUUGGGUGGCUGUAUAUGUAUGGGCCACAUGUGGGGCAGGCUCUGAAUGGGUGUUCCUUCUGCCUCUGUUCUAAACUUUGUUUCCCUAUUCCCUCUCAAGGGUAUUCUUGUUCCUCUUUUAAAGAAGGAGUGAAGCAUUCACAUCGUCCGUCUUGAGUUUCAUGUGUUCUAUGCAUCUAGGGUAAUUCAAGCCCAAUAUCUUGUUUUGAAACAAUUAUCUGCUAUCAGAUGAAAUCACAGGGACACUUCUACAGUUGGCUCAUCACUGUAAUGAAAGAAAAUGCUUUCCCUGUGUGUACUCUCAGUACAUUUCUGGAUCUCUGUUGUCCGCAAUAUCUCUGUGACCAUGGCGAACAAGCUAGACAUUUCCCAUAUAACCCGCAAACCUCCCAGAGAGUUUGCCGUUGUACAUUUGAUGACUCGGCAAGGUCUUCACAUCACCGAGGAUGGGCGAGCAUGCAGGUGCCAUGGAGAAGCAAAUGCUGUCCUGUGGUAUCAGUAGCAAGACAUACUUUUUUCUCUCUGAAUGGAGACAGGCUGGUGGCUUCUUUUGUACUCCUCUGGGGCUGAAGGGUUUGCUUAUUUAUUUAUUUAUUUAUUUAUUUAUUUAUUUAUUUAUUCAGCCUCCUAUUUUGUUGUACACAGCAACACCUUUCUGCUGCCUUCAGAGGGCAUGUAUUAGGAGGUACGCACUGCCCCAUGAAGGUUGGAGAAACAGCUAUGGAGCAUGCUGGGCCCUGGUGCGAUCAGACCUGAGAUUGGGAAUGAAAACACGGGGUUGAAAUAGAGUUUAGGGGACAGGAAAGUUUGGGUUCAAAAGACCAAGAAAAUUCAUAAGAAAGCUGUGAUAUUAUAGUAAGAUUUAUCAGCUGGGCAUACGGAUGCAUAUUCAUAAUCCCAGGACGCAGAAGGGGAGGGAGAGGCCGACGAAUCUCAUGUUUCAGGCUAAUAUGGGCUUCACAGUACGUUCCUGCCUCAAAAACAAAACAAAACAAUAACAACAACAACAAAACCAAAACCAAAACAACAAACAAAAAACUCAAAGCACAAAACCAAACAAGCAUAUAUGUGUGUGUGUAUGCAUGUAUGUAUGUGUGUGUAUGUAUGUAUGUAUGUGUGUGUGUAUGUAUGUAUGUGUGUGUGUGUAUGUAUGUAUGUAUGUAUGUAUGUAUGUAUGUAUGUAUGUGUAUAUGUAUAUAUUCACUUCUUUGUUUCUGGGGCAGCAGCUAACAGCCUUGACAAUGGAGCACCAGCAGAAUCCUUGUUCUAAUAUUUGUUCUUUGGUCUCUGUUUCUGACACAAAGCCCUCCAAGAACUAAUGAUUUCUCCAGUGAUGGGGAUGUCCAACACACAGUUCCUCAGUCCUGGCAUUUUCUGGGUUGACAGGAGUGUUUUCUUUGGCUUUGUUGAACAGAUUCCUGGUGCAUGCCUCUGGAACCCUAGGAUCUGUCUGGUUGUCAGGGAAACCAAGAGUAUGAUUAGAAAGUUGGAAUUCUUAGCGUUGUCUUUUAACCUAGAGGAGGGUGAGGGGUGAGGAUUGAGCAGAUGGACAGUAUAAUCAACCACGUUCUAUAUCUUAAGCCUCCAUAAGCCCCCAGAAUGUCGUGUUUUGAUGAACAGAUGACAAUGAGUGUCUAGAUUCCUGGAGGGUGGUGACCAGAGACGGUAAAGGAGUAGAUGAUCUCUUCUCAGACGCUUUACCUCAUGGUGUUUGGGUAUUCAUUUGUAUCUUUUGUUCACAAUACUUGGGAAGUUUGAAAAGGGGACAUGGGAACCUCUGGUGUAUAAUUAGCUGACCAGAAUCAUAGAUUAGGUGACAAAAUCAUUGCUUAUGUGAUUGACCUUUGAAUUGGAGGCUGCUCCAUAACUAGGCCUCCAACUUUUGGGUCUGAUUCUAUCUCUAGGCAUGAGAUUGAAAGAUAGGACUCAUGAUUGAUUGGAAUGUAAAGAGAAAGCCACGUCCACUUUGGUGACCAGGUGUAAAGCAUUCUUAUGUCUCGGGAUGGAUGCUGUGAGGGCAGAAAGGUUUUGUGUCUGAGAAGUGAAGACCAAAAAGUGUGUAUCCUCUGUGUGUAUCCUCUCUCUCUCUCUCUCUCUCUCUCUCUCUCUCUCUCUCUCUCUCUUUCUCUCUCUCUGUGUGUUUGUGUGUCUCUCUUUGUCUUUCUCUCUGUGGUGUGUGCUUUGUGUGUGGUUUUUGUGUGCAUGUAUCUGUGGGUGUGUCUGUAUCUCUCUCUCUCUCUCUGGUGUGUGCUUUGUGUGUGGUCUCUCUCUCUGUGUGUCUAUGUGUUUAUGUCUGUGUGUGUGUGUGUGUGUCUGUGCGUCUGCAUGUGUUUCCCAGUGGGGACAUUCUUUCUGGAUUCUCAUGGCAGAAAGCACUUGCUUUGCUGCAAACUGAACCCAGAUUUGCUCUGCCAUCUCCACUCCUCUGUGCAGCAUGGUGAGCACAGACAUGGGAAGAGACGAGCUAGGCUGUGGGUGUGCACAUCCAGCUGCUUGCUGAACCGAAAGUCAAAUUGUGAUCAAAGGGAUGCUUUCUGCAGCAGACGAAGCUCUUAGGAAAUUGGCAGAAGCAAAGGUCUGUACCAGACACUCUACAAAGAGCCAAGUCAGGUAGCCGGAGAGAUUUUGAAGCCUUUGCUGGCGGCUGUGUCUAGGGACAGAAAUGUAAUCAAAAAAAGAUCAUAGUCUUAAUCCGAUUAACUCUCCCCUCUAAUGGCUACAGCAAAAGAAGCUUUCUUUUGUUUGAUUUAACUAAGGAGGAACUCCCUUACAUGCCUUCAUUAACUUCUCCAAAUUCUUAGUUCAUAAAGCACAGAUUUGGUAGAGUAUUCCAGACAAUUACAGGCAAACUUCAAAGAUCUGUAGUGGCAGGUUGUGCUUCUGGACUUAAACAGGGUGGAGCCUAAGCAGGGAGAAGGGCCUUCUGAGGGGAACUUCUGAGUGAAAAAACAAGGUAAUAAGAAUGCAUUGCAGGAUUAGAUAGACAGAAGACCAGAACAUUAGUAAUUUGCUUUAACUUUUUUUUUAAAAUCUGAUCUUCUCCCUCUUCCUUUGUUUUGAAAACUAUUUACAACUAUGUUUACUUAAAAGUUGGGAGGCUGCAAAAAUCAGUUUUCAUACCUGGCUCUGAUUUUAUUCUCUGAUAUUACCAUUAUUAAAAAAAUUAAAAAAGAAGGCAUGAGGUCAGCAAAAACAACCUUGCAAAAGGCACACCCCAUCUUUCUGAGGUGGAGUAGAAAGGAAGAAAGUAAGGGGGCAUGAGAAUGGAAAGCAAGUCCCCACACUGAAGUCUUGCUGCAGCCUCAAGAGUCCUGGCACAAUUAACACUUUCUGUGAAGGUUGCCCACAUGUAGGCAGCAUUAGCCUCACUUAAAGCACAUAUAACCUAUGGUUUUUCUGCUUCUUAGAUGCAAGCCUGUGACUUCUUCUGAGGGUCUUAUAGACAGGGCUCUAACCAUGUUGAUAGUAAAAGACAGGUCUAACUCCCUUGUACAACUCUUGUGACUCCCCCUUCCCCAGUGCUGCUUCCAGAACCAUUCUGGCUACUUCUAUGGCACAAGUGUGACUCUCUCAGGAAGCAUGUGUCUGCAUUUGGAUGUUAGUCAACCUGAUAAAAAUCUACAGUCAUCUGGGAGAAAGGCCACUGAGCAAGAUGUGUGUGCUAGCAUAUCUUGAUUGUCUUGGUUGAUGUGAGAUGAUUUGCCUACUGUGGGCAGAACCAUUCCCUGAAACAGUCCUGGGCUGUGCAAAGGUUGAGAGCAGCAAGCCUGUGUUCAUUGCUCUUGUUUCCUGGCUGUAGCUUUGACACGGCCAUCUGCUUCAAGCCAUGGCAGUCUGCACCUUGGACUUUGAACUAAAGUAAACCUUCUCUUCUUUAAGUUGCUUUCCUUAGAGUUUUUUUUUUUUUUUUUUUUUAAUCACAGCACCAGGAAGAGGAAUCGACAUUUGUACUAUCCUUUUCUGAAGCACCUUUCUCCCUUAAUGCCUGCACUUAGAGUUGUAUUAAAACUCAUUAUUUACCUUUCUUUCCUGUCUCUGUGUGUGCUAUGUGCAUAUUUUUGUGUGUGGGCAUGUUUGCGUGUGUGUAUGUGUGUGUGCUCAGAUGUGCAUGCAUGUGUGUGAGCAUCUGUGGAGCCCUGUCGAUGCUCGAAGUCUUCCUCAGUUGUUUUUCUGUCCCUGCCAGUGGGGACCCAGUUAUUCAGGGUCCCAAAGAGGCUUUCUACCUGUGGGCCAAAUGAGGGUGAAGAGAAGAAGGAAACCAAGCAAGAUUCUAUUGUCAAGGUCUCGUUUAUUGGAAUGAACGUUACAGCUUUUAAGGCUUUCAGGUAGGGGAGUGUCCUUUGUGAAACACAGAGGAGGGGGAGAUGAGGAUAUAGGCAGUGAUAGCUGGAGGCGAAGAGGUCAGGCGGUAGAGGAUGAGGUCAGGCGGUAGACACCGGGUGUUGACUGAGGAGAUAACUGAUUUUUGCUUAGACUGAAGCAUCCCGUGAAUAUUAUCUUCCUGUGCCAUAAAUUCAUGGGAGAGGCUCUUAGAGGAGUAUGUGUGGCCAAAAGUCACGUAGCCACUUUGAGCUAUAGUCACAAAACGGCCAGGCCCAAAUCCAAUAUGGCUCCCUACAUUUUUCCACUUGAUUUAUUGAGCAGGGUCUCUCAAGCCAAUCUAGAGCUAGCCAAUAUAAAUUGUCUCCUAGUAUGCUGGCGCUGGGGGUUCCCUGUCUUUGCUUUCAAGGACAAGCUGGCUGCCCCUUCUCUCCUGACAUUUACAUGAGUUUUGGGGGAUCCUAACUCUGGUUCUCAUGCUUGUACUGCAAGCAACUUUAAACCCUGGGCUCUGUUCCCUAAAACACCUUCCCAGGGAACUCAAACUCUGCUUUGCGCUAACUUUUCUGGAAAUUCUUGCUCACGUCUCCGAGCGCAGCUGGAUCUACAGGAUGUUAGCUUAUGCUAUGCUGUCUGGGUUUGGCAUUUCCUUUUAUUCAGAAAGUACUGAGUGAAGAACAACACUGAGAAAACUUUUUUAUGUGUUGUGUUACUUGCUUUUCUUGUUGCCUGACAAAAUACGAAACAAAAAACACCUUAAGUGAGGGAAGGUUUAUUUUGGCACGGUGUGUGGGUCAGAAGUCACAGCAGAGGAAUGCGCUCACAUUCAGUUUGUGGUGGAUGCAGAGACAGGAAGGCAGAUGCUCCCUUUGAUUUCUUUGUGUUCACCCUGAAUUCCUAGCCCAUGUGGUGAUGAUGCCUCUGGCACUCAGGGUGGGUCUUCCCACCUCAGUCAAACCUCUCUAGGAACACCCAUAGGUGUGUCUCCUAGGUGAUUCUCAUGUAGAAUGCAGCUUCUUUUUUUUUAUUUUUAACCCAGUGUGCUUCAGCUGCAAAGUUUUCUCAACGUUUGUGAAAUGAAUCACUGUGUGCUGGGUGUUGAACGCAGGGAUAGAAUGAUCUAGUUGGCCAUCAAGAUUGACCGUUACAAAUGCGCACAGAAGAAUCUGGCUGUUGUCGGAGACUCUGGCCCACAGUUCAUGGUGCUCAUGUAGAAAGUCACUUACCUGACUCCACCAGACAGAGUCGGUCACACGUACAGCACAUUGGCAGAGAGUACAAGCCUCAUAGUGUCAGCUUCUGUUUACCAUCCCAUUCUAUGAACAUCACCGUGGAUAGUACAGACUUCUGAUGGGGAAGGAUCCCCUUCCUUUACCAAGCCUUUUAUUUAAGGUCAAAGAAACCAAACUGAAUUCUACUCAUGCGCAAAUGCAAUUUUUUAUUUAUUUACUGUAAUGAGACUGCCAAAGAAUUCUUUGCAUUUGAGAAUUGAAUUCUGUUCUGUUACAAAUGUUGAAGUAGAGGUAGAACAACUAUCUCUUCUUCAGAGUGAAAUUUAAAUAAAAGUGGACCCACAGGAAGGGGAAAAAUAUGUCCCAUUGAAACCAACAACGCUACCCGCCAUAUUUGUUUUUAUUGAUCCUUUCAACAUAUACAAAGAGUGGGUUGUGGCACAACCCUCUUGGCUUUGAUUGUUGGCUGUGGUUUGAUUAGACUUACCAAGGAUGAUGUGAGGGCUAAACGGAUAAGCAAGAGAGGAAACAUUAUUACUCUUAAAAUAAAUAAAUAAUAGAUAAAUAUGUUAAAAGAUGUGUGGGUAGGUGGGUGAAUGAAUAAAUGAAUGGAUGAAUGGAAACGCAGUGGGAAUGGCUUCUUUGGAUAAUUUUCACAGUGACCCAGCCGUGGUGUUAUGACUGAAGAGCUAUAGUUUCUUAGAAAAUGGCUCAUUGUACUUGAAGAAUAAAUGCUUUCUUUCUUAAGCCUCAACAAGACAACACAGUAUCAUGUCCUGAACCACCAGGUGGCUUGUGAACACUGUGUGACUUAUAUUCCCAUCUCAUCGGCAUGCUCCACUCAAACGAGGGAUAGAUUCACAGUAAGGCUACCGGAAAUCAUAUUUUCAUAGAUCGUAUUAUUUUUAUGACCCCCCAUUAAGUCAUCUAGUUUUCUCACUCAGUCUUUUUCAGAUAUAAACAGACAUGAGUAUAAUCUCCCGUCAGGAUAGUUUUGAAGAUGAAGGCUGUGUUGUGGACCACAGAGCUGUAGAAGUAGGAAGAGUUAUCAGGCACAAAUGACCAUUGCUUUUUUUUCUCCUGGGUCUUUUUUUUCUUUUUCUAAACAAGGUAUCACAUGUAGCCCUGGCUGGGUCAGUUUGACCUUGGACUCACAGACAUCUGUGUGUCUCUGCCUCCUGAGUGUUGUGAUUAAAGGCAUGAACCACUAUGCCUGGUUUGUUAUUCUCUCUCUCUCUCUCUCUCUCUCUCUCUCUCUCUCUAUAUAUAUAUAUAUAUAUAUAUAUAUAUAUAUAUAUAUAUAUAUAUAUAUAUAUAGUCAUUGUGGCAUUGACUUAGUGUGAUGUUCAUUAAUUUUUGUUUUUUAGACUUUUUUUAUUAGUUUACUCUGUGUGUGUGUAUUUGGGUGUGUAUGCGUGUGUGUGUGUGUGUGUGUGUGUGUGUGUGUGUACAUGACUACAGGUGCUGGAUCUCUGGAAUGGAAGUUUCAGGAAGUUGUGAGCUCCCUAGAGUGCAUGCUAGAAACCAAAUUCUGGUCCUCUGCAAGAGCAUCAUAUGCUCUUAACUUCUGAGCUAUCUCUCCAGCAGGUUUUUAUUAUCACAGAUAUUAAGUGAGAGAAAUACAGUAAUGUAGCAAACUUGACAUUUCCACAUCGAUCAUUAAGAAAAUGCUCCACAGGGGUUGGGGAUUUAGCUCAGUGGUAGAGCGCUUGCCUAACAAGCUCAAGGCCUUGGGUUUGGUCCCCAGCUCUGAAAAAGAAAAAGAAAAGAAAAGAAAAAAAAAGAAAAUGCUCCACAGACAUGCUCAUGGGUCAGUUUGUUGGAGACAAUUUCUUAACUGAGGUCCCCUCUUCCCACAUGUCAAGUCGUCAAGCAUGACUAGCCAUCACAGUGACAUAGAGGACUACCCAUCAUCUUGCAUGAGAGACUCAUGGUCUAUUCUGAGAUUCUCAUGCAUGUACACACUAUGGAUACUCAGAAAUAUCUACUUAACUAUGGACUGGAUGAAGAACAAGGUGCCCAUGGCUUCCAUCUAGUCAAUUAUUAUUAUAUUAGAUAUUAUGUAGUAUAUUAUUAUAUUAUUAUGAAGCAAAUUAUUUAUACUACUGAGCUGCAAGGAACCAAAACAAUACAUGCCAAUUAAAACUGAAACCUUUAAUGAGACGAUAAAGUGGAAACAACCAAACUCCGUCCAACAGAGACCACGAUGAACCUACCAUUUCCUGCAGCAGCAGAAACCAUCAAGAACAUCUCAUCAAACUACCCCGGGGUCUGCAAAAUCCAAGUUUCAUUUAGCACAGCUCUUUAAUAUCAGUAAACAAACACUUCUGUAGCAGCAGGCUAGGAGGGAGGUGAUGGCUGGCUUUCAAGCCGGAGGCCACUAGCUCCAUGUGUACAAUGAUGCCUGUUGGGUUGUGGAAAGGGAGGCUCAGUCCAGGGUCAUAGGGAUUUGGCUCAGAAACACUGGGAUCAUUGUCUUCAGAGGCAACAAAGGAGUUGGUUGUAAAACUAAGCUUUAAUAUGAAGCCAAAAAACUUUUGCUUGUCAUCUUGUGUUUGUUUGGCAUUCAAGUGUGGCAGUCAUUUUCUGUAUUUGGUACUGUUUACAUUUAGAGUAAGGCCCGCAGCCAUGAAAUAGGGACCAGCUUUCAAUAUCUCACUCUUAGAAAAACGAAAAGGAGAAGAAAUUGGAAACCAAAGCAACAAAGCCUCUAAACUUUCUCCUCAUGUGUCCUGUGACUUCUUGUCUGAAUCUUUGGGCCUAGGGAGAUAGUGUUAAAUGGUAGCUUUGAGUGCUCCUUGACUCAGGAGCCUGCUAACCCUCUGGACAGUUCGUCCAUAAAUAGAUACACAUUUGAAUUUGCCUGGAGGAAGGGGGCAACAUUCACUUGGUAUGGAGACACAGUUUUCUGUGCUCUUGCGUUUUUGGUUGUAUGGGAAUUUCUUGUCAAAUUCUGUGUAUUGUAUGAGUGCAUUAUGUGGUGUGUGUGUGUGUGUGUGUGUGUGUGUGUGUGUGUGUGUGUGUGUGUGUGUGUUGUAUUAUGUAUGUCUGGUGUAUGUCGGUGUGGUCACUGUGGAAUUUGUCUCUUCAACUUAGUAGUAUCUACAUGGGCCUUGGGGAGAGGAACUGUUGUGGUCAUGUCAGCUUUAAUUGCUGGUUGGGUAAGAGCAGGGGAGUGGUAAUAAAUCCGUAAACCUGCAGGUGAGCAAGGCUCCUUACAGAGCAGGGCGGGUGCGCUGAAAUGCCCAAUACAUUUGCCUUCUGUCUUAGGGUCUCUAUUGCUGUGAUGAAACACCAUGACCAAAAGGCAAGUUGGGUUGGAAAGUGUUAAUUCAGCUUAUUCUUCCUCACUGUGGUUCAUCACCAAAGGAAGCCAUGGCAGAAAGUUAGGUAGGGGAGGAUCAUGGAAGCAGGAGCUGAUGCAGAGGCCAUAAAGGGGUGUGGCUUGCUUCCCCUGGCUUGCUCAACCCAGGAUCAUGAGCCCAAGGAUGGCACCACUCUCAAUGGCUGAGCCCCCUGCCGUUGAUCACUAGUUGAGAAAAUGUCGUAUGGAGUAAUUUCCUCAACUGAGGCUCCUUCCUCUCUGAUGAUUCUAGCUUAUAUCAAGUUGACACAAACUUCUUAAAAGAUGAGAGGAAAUUAUCACAGUAUGUCUCUGAAUGUAAAAAUUAAUUAAGAUAAACUACUAGAAUUGAACGGCAUAUUAUAUUUCUGCAAAAUUCUUUUCAUUUGCAUUAUAAAUUACUGUAUGAAUCUAUUUCUGUCUUACUUCAUUCAGUUACCUGAUCAUCAUAGCUAAAUAACUUUAAAACUUUUAUACUCCCAAUGGGAGUUUUGAUGCUGAAGCUAAGAAAUUAAGUGGCUGGCCAAGUAUCAAAAUAGUCUUACAUUGGUCUGGGUUCCUGGUACUAGCCUAUUUUUCAUGGUGUCAUGUGACUUCGUGAAAUGUCAUACAACUAAAACUAAAUAAUUCCUCUGUUGUAAUACAAUGAGAUGAUCACACACUACACCUCUGUUCUUUAAUGUUACACACUUCCAACAUUGAAAAAUAAUUAAAUUUUUAUUUAUUAAAAUUGUUCUUAGACAUUUUCUUACAUGCAUAUGAAGUACACAUUGACCAAUGUUCCAUCCCCCAUCUCUAUGACCUCUAUUUCUCUUCUCCACAAAUCUUUCUUUCACAGCCCUGUCUGUUGAUUUUGUUUUGUGAUCCAUGGAGACUAACCAAGGCCAUCUCUGUGACAAUGGAUUGGGAGUUGAUCCUUGGAGCCUACUGAAAUCAGCAUUGGGAACGCAUCAAAAGACAGUGACUCUUCUCUCCCCAUGAUACAUUAAUAGCCAACAGUUUAUAGGUAAAAGGUAGGGCCCUAUGAGCUACUACCCCUUCCUCGACUGACUAUUGACAGGGACCCUUUGUGUAAACCCAGUGUAGAUGACUAUAGUUGUUUAAGUUCAUGGUUGCAGUAAUUAUGUCACGUCUAGGAAAUACUUCUUACAGAUGUAAGCAUAUGGUUUGCACAUUUCUUUCUUGUUUUGGACUGUUAGAACUGCUUUUUCUUGAUUCCAAGAAGACUUCCUGUAAUUCUGUGUUAAGUUAGCUUAAUGCAAAGUCUCUUGCAUCCAUCAAAUCUUAACAUUGAAGGAGUUACGUUCUCUACCAACAUUGUGUUAUAGGCUACAUGCGAACCCAAGCACUGUGUCCCUCCAUCAACAUUAGAACUAUAUUGUUUUCUAAGUUAGACUUGGUUGUGGAUGUCCUAGCCUUAGUAUUUUACACAAAACCUUUUGCUGAGCAAAUAUGUGAAAACCCAGUAAAAAUCGGUGAGUAGAAGGACACUAAAGAAUCUUGUGAAAUCCCAGUUAUCUAGCUGGAUGUGGAAAGCAUAAUAGUCCUGUGGAAAGUGUGGAGGGUAUUGGUCCUUAAAGAAAGAGCUUGAGGACACCUUCCACUCCAAGGAUUAGUUAUCUCAAUAAAUAUUUAUUGAUGAUUAGCAUUGUGUUUUUCUUCGGAGCUGUAUCUUAUUUUUCCAAACAGUUUUAUAAAUGAACAUUUUGUGAACGUUGAAUGUAAAUAUUUAAGGCACUAACUUAGGAGAACUUCCUGCUUUCAAUCUCUUGUUUAUUCUCCAGUGAGAAUGUACAGUAACCCAUUUCAAACUCUGGCUUGCAUGCCUCUCAACAAGGCUUCCCUGAGCAAUGAGUGCCAGAGCAAGAUUGAGGCAGAUUGUAAUCUCUCGGCCUGGCAGACUGACAUCAUGUAUACAUGCUGCCAACAUUCCUUUGAAAACAGAUGUUCCUACAGAGGAACUGUUAUCACAUCUCUCUUCUUCCAUUUGUUCAGUGAAUGUUAAUUGUGGAAAGUAUGAGCUUUAAGAUAUGGCUAGGAACAAUUCUUUGGGGGAUAUGCUCUUUUGAAGGGGGGGGUAAAGCAACUAUUCUACCAGUAUUUUUCAUUUUAUAUCAGGCCUUCUCUCAGGAAUAAAUUACCUAUCUCCUCCCUAAAACAGAAGCUCCUAUGUCUACAUGCAGGAAAAUUAGUUGUAAAUAUUAGCAGCAUUUUUCUUUUAAUUUUUUUUAUUUGUGUGCUAACUUAUUCGUGUGUGCACAUACAAACAUAAGCGCACAAAGAUGAAAGUGAACAGGUCGGUGGGGGAAACUGAGGGAUUGAACUCAGAUCAUCAUGCUUAUCACCCUUAUCCAGAGAGACAUCCUGUCAGCUCAGUUAGCAGCAUUAUCUAACAUCUAAGUAGAAACUUCAGUUCUUGUGAUUUUAAAAUUGUUUCUUUUAAUCAAAAAAUGUGGGCUAAUAGCACAAAAUCCAAAAAAGGCAAUUCCACUGAUGAUUUACUUAAAAUUAGGAUUCAAAACAGCACCUUGACUAUAAGGGUCUUCAACUACUGUGAUGAGUGUGGCUGUGUGUGUACAGAAGAUACUGUGGCUGGCAUGAGAGUAUCAGGGAUUUUCAAUGUGUGUGUGUGUGUGUGUGUGUGUGUGUGUGUGUGUGUAUGCGCGUGCACAUAUUCAAGGACAAUCUUCUAUUUAGAUCAUAAACCUAGUAAAACUGCACAAGACUGCAUUUGCUUAAAUCUUCAGGCAAACAAUAAGUCUUUGUUGGCAAUUGUCUCUCUGCUGAAGUGAUUUUCAGUUGAGUUUCUGACAGAUGUGGUGAAUACUCAAAGGUCAACUCUUGCUAACUCUGAGACCCUUUCCCCCGGAAGUCUGGGAGAUGCCUUAUAUGUCUGUGCUGUGUUCUAGUUUUCAGAACUGCCAUAAUGUAUUUGUUUCAUAUUUUAAGCCUUGAGAAAUUCACAUAUUAAAGUAAUAUAGUAACAAGUUUCUUUCAGAAAUUGUUGACUUUGGCCUCCUAUAAUCUCCUACAAAUAUCACUAUCUGGUAGAAGGUGUUUCAGAUGGAGAUCUUUAUUUUCUCAUUGUGUAAAUGAGUCUUUAUACUGAUUAUUCUCUUUUGAUUGAACCAAUGAAGAAAAUCUCUACAAGUCGCAUUAUAUCUUCCUACUCUGAGUCUGUUAUGACUUGAAUUUUAAAUGUCCCCCCAAAAGUUUGUAUUCUAAAUGUUUGUGGAGACCAAGGGGCCUUUAGGAGAUGGGGUCUAGCUAGAAGUAGGUCAUUAGGGUCAGAUAUUAGUAGGUAUGUAUUUGUCGUCCUUCUGUUUCUAUCUCUGCUUCCUAGCCUGUCAGGAUGUUAAACCCUCCAUCCCACAUUCCUGCCACCAUGACCUGAGCUGCUUCUUCAGGCCUCCCCAACAGGAUGGAUAGAACCUUCUGAAACUAGGAGCCAAAUUAGAUAUUCCCUCCCUUAAGUUAUGUGUGCUAUUGGGUAAAUGAGAAAAAUAAUGAAUAGAGCUCAAACUUUUCUGUUUUUUUUUCCAGAUAAUGCCUUGGUCCAAUAGGUCACUGGACAAAGUAUGACAUGGUUGGAACAAUGCCAGAAACAAGACAGGAUCCUGGCCCCUCUGUGUGAAUGCCUGUUUAAAGCCCUAAGCACUUGCCUCCACCCUGGAUGGGCUGAACAAUGUCUCCCUUUCAAAGGAAAUAGGAACCCUAGUCAAGAACCUAGGCAACCUUUUCAGGGGCCCUCAUGGACACAUUAACUCUCUCGGCCAAUCCCUGAAUUUCUUUUGGAAGAGCACAAUAUUAGUUAUUCCAAAACUCAGUUUGACUUUAGCACAUAGAUUUGUGAAUGGCUCUACUCCACAGACAUUUCAUUCCUAAACACCAAGGGAGUCCACAGGUGUUCUCAUCUCAGAGGGUACAAAGGGAACUCUGUAAGUGACAUAUCCUGGCAGGAUGUCAGGGUAAAGAAUGCAUUUAAAAAGAAAAAGACUCAUUUAUGGUAGAAUAAACAUUAUCAUUAAAGUGCCCUACUCUAAAUUAAUCUUAUACUUAAAUUUUAAAAUUACAUUAAUUUAUGUACAUGAAUCUCUCUCCCUCUCUCUCUCCCCAACCCCAUCUCUGUGUAUAAUAUUUCCUUGGCAUUCUAUAUAUACAGAGGUCAUAGGGCAGUCUCUCUCUCCCUCUACCACACAGGUCCUGGUGAUCAAGCUCUGGUCAUGAAGCUUGGUGGCAAACAUGUUUACCUACUGAACCAUCUCGAUUGUCCUGAUGACAGUUGCUUUGUUGUACAGAAUUCAAUGGUGAAUUUAAUUGUCCCUAUUUUCUUGGACAGACAAAUCAUUCUGAUAUCUUGGGAACUAAGAUGUUUUCAGGAUUUUGAGCCUUCAGUACUAAAACAGGACAAGCAUGAUGUCCACUGAGUUUCAAAACAUGGAGUCGCCUGGGCAACCUUUUACUUCUAGUGUGCACACAGUCUGUUCCAAACAGAGGGUCGUCUAUUCCAAAUUCAGGAAGAAUCCUGACCCCGACUCCUGCUAUUUAGAAGAGAAGCCUGAGGUAUUCAGCAGUCACUUUAUUUUCCUCUGUAUUCAUCACUGGAUAUGAGCACCAGGGAUUGGGUUUGGUGUCCCUCAAUGACUCUGCUCUCAUCUGGCUAGAAAGUGGACAAGCACGAUUGAGGACCCUGUCUCCUGAAGCCACAGCGAAGCUGGUGUCCUUGAGUCUACACUGCGUAUCCUAUACUCAUCUGUUUCAGCGUGGUGCUGAGUGAUAAUAUAUGUGAUUUUUGUGUCUUUUUAUGAAUUGAUAACAGUCCCUUAUAUUUGUUAAUGAUGAUGCAAACCUUUACAAUGUGUUCUCCUAGGAAGUUCAUGACUGAAGAGGCCAUCUGUCCUGCAGUUGAGCAACUAUGCGCCUUUCUUGGGGGAGGGAGAGCCAGGAAGUGAGGAUGAAAGGAACACAUGCUGUGGUUUUAUUGGGGGACACAGAGAAGAUGUUUUCAAGCCUUUCUUCUCCCCUCCCCCACCCCACCCGGGUUUUAAAAACCUGUAUUCUCAUACUGGGUCUCUCUCUGCUCACUCUAAUAAAGUUUUUGUUUAAUUAAUCUUAAA